GACACCUCUCUCUCGUCGUCUCUCUCGUUGAUUUUGUUGUCAUUGUUCUUGAGCGGACAAAUAAAAAGAAAAGCCUCUUCGUUUGAAUCCCACACACAGAGAUCUAAUUAUUGUUUUCCGUUGGUAAAAGUUAAGAUUUUGUUCUCUCUCUCGCUUCUUUGAGUCGUUUCAUAUUCCCUUUCAAUUUUUUCAAGUUUUAUGUAAUUGGGUAUUUCUCGUUUACUCUCUAAUAAUAUACGAUUAGUGGUCUGAACUUGUAAACUAUUCAACCCAAUCGAUUUUAUUAAAUCAGGAGAUCUACUUCAAGUUAACAGCGGAAUCAUGGCGAUGAGAGACCUUGUUAACGGCGGAGCCGCUUGUGCGGUUCCCGGUUCUUCUUCUUCUUCUAAUCCUCUCGGAGCCCUUACCAACGCCCUAUUUGGUUCAUCUUCCAAAACUCAGGUUAGCUUCCUGAUCAUACCGUAUUUCAAUUUGAAGUCGAAGUAGAUCUCUCUAAUACUAAAUCGAUUCUUGGUAUGCCUUUUAUUCACAAACGGCGGUGACGGUGUUUGGCUCCACGGCGGCGGAGAACGAUCUCCGAAUUUGGCUUCGAUUCUGGUUUCUUGGGACAACAGUUCCACGGAAACCAAACUCCAAACUCGAUGAACUUCGCUGGAUUGAACCACUCAGCACCGGAUUUUCACACUUCCCGGUCAAUCCCAGCUCCGGAUCAUGUGGACUGAGUCCUCUGUUCGAGAAUAGAGCAAACGUUCUGAAACCGUUAGAGCAAAGUGGAAGCUUAGCUGUUCGUGACUUCUCUAACUUGGUUAAGCCAGAAGAUAUUGUCGCUUCAGAACAUCUCCUGACUCUCCUUGCAGUUGUUCCAAAGUAUUCCCAAAAAGACUUGUUGGGUUAAUGGAGUAGACUAAUGGUCCGUGAUUUUGAACAUAUCGUUGAAGCACAAGAGACUCGUAAACAAGGAGCUAGAAAAGUUGGUACAGGAUCAGGAAAGUUUGAGAAGCUCUCUUUUGCAGUGGUUAUGGAGAGGUUUUCAGCUCCUGGAUGCAUUUCUGUGCUGUGCGUAUAUUCGCUGAGAGCAUUAUGAGAUAUGCUUUACCUCCAGCAUUCUUGGUUAUCUUAUUCUUAGGUGGAUGAUUUGUGAAACUUUUCUAGGAGAUAAUUGUUUAAGUUUUAUUUAAAAAUGGCAGCUUCAAGCGACUCUGGUUUGGAAGGUCAGAAACAUGACCUCAAUUCCUAUAAAUUUUGUAAAGCAUUGCACAUUAUUAUUAUACCAUCACGUUUACACUCUUUAAAGAUAGUAUGUGACUAUG